AAGUCGUAACAAGGUUUCCGUAGGUGAACCUGCGGAAGGAUCAUUAACGAGUUUUUGAAAGGGGUUGUAGCUGGCCAAAAACAAAGCAUGUGCACACCCUGCUCAAUCCACUCUCAAACCCCUGUGCACUUAUUGUAGGCUAUGGUGGGAUAGCUGGCUUCGGUCAGUUUGAAAGCCUUGUCUAUGUUUAUUACAAACGCUUCAGUUAAAGAAUGUCACAUAGCGUCUAACGCAUUAUAUACAACUUUCAGCAACGGAUCUCUUGGCUCUC
rnacentral:misc_RNA from 1 species